rnacentral:rRNA from 2 species
GACAGAGGUGCCAAGCGUUAGGCGGAAUCACUGGGCUUAAAGCGUGUGUAGGCGGAAUGGUAAGUACCUUGUGAAAUCCCACGGCUCAACCGUGGAACUGCUUGGUAUACUGCUUUUCUUGAGCCACUUAGGGGCAACCGGAACAAACGGUGGAGCGGUGAAAUGCGUAGAUAUCGUUUGGAACGCCAAUGGUGAAAACAGGUUGCUGGGAGUGUGCUGACGCUGAGACACGAAAGCCAGGGGAGCGAACGGG